GUCAGGAUGGCCGAGUGGUCUAAGGCGCCAGACUCAAGGUAGCACCUUCCUGUGUUGAGGGACUUCUGGUCUCCGAAUGGAGGCGUGGGUUCAAAUCCCACUUCUGACA
rnacentral:tRNA from 1 species